GACCCAGCGACACCGCGGGCCGGAAGAAGCCCUUUGGGGAGUAAACGGCUUAUACCGGGGGAGGAAGCCUCCCGGUUUUACCAAAGAUGACCAGUACCCCAGCGAAUAAGGGACGACCAACCUUCCGUGCCAGCAGUCGCGGCUCAAGACGACAGGUCCCAAGCGAUUACCCGGAUUUACUGGGCGCAAAGGGCCGAGAAGGCGGUGAAUCCAAGUUUGACCUCAUAACAGUACACCGAGCUCAACCUUGGUGACAAGGGCCAAAUACCUGGUUCACCUAGAUAACUUCCCAGGAGCUAGUCGGAACCGCACGGUGUAGGGGUGAAAUCCGAAGAUAUCGUUGCGGAACCGCCGAAGGUCGAAGGCAGCUGGCUAGGGAAGUCUUUGACGCUGAUCUCGCGAAAGCUAGGGGCGCAAACCGGAUUAGAGACCCGGGUAGUCCUAGCUGUAAACUAUGGGUGCUAACUUUGGGGAGUUUCGACCCUCUCUGAGGUAAAGUCUCACGCGUCAAGCACCCCGCCUGGGGAGUACGGCCGCAAGGCUGAACUCAAAGGAAUAGGCGGAAGCCCGAACAAGCGGUGGUCCAUGUUGCUCAAUUCGAGAGUGAACGAAUCACCUUACCCAGGUUUGACAUCCUACCGUCAAGCUUUACCGAAAGGUAAAGCGAGUCUACUUUUGUAGGCAGGUAGGACAGGUGCUGCAUGGCCGUCGUCAGCUCGUGGUGUGAACUGUAACCUUAAGUGGCACAACGAGCGCAACCCCUAGUCUGUGUUACAAGUGUCACAGACAACUGCCAGGUAUAACCUGGAGGAAGGUGGGGAUGACGUCAGGUCUGCAUGGCCCUUAUGCCUGGGGCUGCAAACAUGGAACAAUGGUAGGUUACAAAGGGAAGCAAAGCUGCGAAGCUGAGCAAAUCCCUAAAACCUAUCUCAGUUCGGAUUGCAGGCUGAAACUCGCCUGCAUGAAGGCGGAAUCGCUAGUAAUCGCGGGUCAGCUAUACCGCGGUGAAUACGUUCUCGGGCUUUGCACUCACUGCCCGUCAGGUCAGGGGAGCUAUCUUUACCCGAAGCUUUGCUAAAGCAAAGUUAGGGUA
rnacentral:rRNA from 1 species